rnacentral:rRNA from 1 species
CCUACGGGUGGCAGCAGUGGGGAAUAUUGGGCAAUGGGCGAAAGCCUGACCCAGCAACGCCGCGUGAAGGCAGCAGGUUUUAGGAUUGUAAACUCCUUUUGUUAACGACGAUUAUGACGGUAUCUAACGCAUAAGCAGCGGCUAACUCCGUGCCAGCAGCCGCGGCAAUACGGAGGGUGCAAGCGUUACUCGGAUUCACUGGGCGUAAGGAGUGCGUAGGCGGGGUAAUAAGUCAGAUGUGAAAUCCUGUAGCUUAACUACAGAACUGUAUUUGAAACUGGUACUCUGGAGUGUGGGAGCGGUAGGUGGAAUUCUUGGUGUAGGGGUAAAAUCCGUAGAGAUCAAGAGGAAUACUCAUUGCGAAGGCGACCUGCUGGAACAUUACUGACGCUGAUGCACGAAAGCGUGGGGAGCAAACAGGAUUAGAUACCCCAGUAGUC